UACGUAGGUGGCAAGCGUUAUCCGGAUUUAUUGGGCGUAAAGGGAACGCAGGCGGUCUUUUAAGUCUGAUGUGAAAGCCUUCGGCUUAACCGGAGUAGUGCAUUGGAAACUGGGAGACUUGAGUGCAGAAGAGGAGAGUGGAACUCCAUGUGUAGCAGUGAAAUGCGUAGAUAUAUGGAAGAACACCAGUGGCGAAAGCGGCUCUCUGGUCUGUAACUGACGCUGAGGUUCGAAAGCGUGGGUAGCAAACAGG
rnacentral:rRNA from 1 species